AAAAGCUCGUAGUUGGAUCUCAGCUCGGGCCGGACGGUCCGCCUACCGGUGGUUACUGUUCGCUGCUCAGCGUUCGGUCGGAUGUACCCGAUGAUCUUCACCGGUUGUCUCGUGCGUCCGGCAAGUUUACUUUGAAAAAAUUAGAGUGCUCAACGCAGGCGUGAUGCCUGAAUAUUUGUGCAUGGAAUAAUGGAAUAGGACCUCGGUUCUAUUUUGUUGGUUUUCGGAACACGAGGUAAUGAUUAAGAGGGACAGACGGGGGCAUUCGUAUUGCGACGCUAGAGGUGAAAUUCUUGGACCGUCGCAAGACGAACUACUGCGAAAGCAUUUGCCAAGAAUGUUUCCAUUAAUCAAGAACGAAAGUUAGAGGUUCGAAGGCGAUCAGAUACCGCCCUAGUUCUAACCAUAAACGAUGCCAGCCAGCGAUCCGGCUGUGUUCCUCAAAUGACACGCCGGGCAGCUUCCGGGAAACCAAAGCUUUUGGGUUCCGGGGGAAGUAUGGUUGCAAAGCUGAAACUUAAAGGAAUUGACGGAAGGGCACCACCAGGCAUGGAGCAUGCGGCUCAAUUUGACUCAACACGGGGAAACUUAUCCGGCCCGGACACAGGAAGGAUUGACAGAUUAAGAGCUCUUUCUUGAUUCUGUGGGUGGUGGUGCAUGGUCGUUCUUAGUCCGUUGGGUGACUUGUCAGGUUAAUUCCGAUAACGAACGAGACUCUAGCCUACUAAAUAGACGUUCCGGUCCUCUUUAGCCGGACGUUCUUCUUAGAGGGACAAGCGGCGUCCAGCCGCACGAGACAGAGCAAUAACAGGUCUGAGAUGCCCUUAGAUGUCCGGGGCCGCACGCGCGCUACAUUGAAGGAGUCAGCGUGUUCUCUCCCUGUCCGACAGGACUGGGUAACCCGUUGAACCUCCUUCGUGCUGGGGAUAGAAAAUUGUAAUUAUUUUUCUUGAACGAGGAAUUCCCAGUAAGCACGAGUCAUCAGCUCGUGUUGAUUACGUCCCUGCCCUUUGUGCACACCGCCCGUCGCUACUACCGAUUGAAUGAUUUAGUGAGGUCUUCGGAUUGGCGCUCGGAUUGGCCUUCGCGGUCGAGCCGACGUGCCGAAAAGACGAUCAAACUUGAUUAUUUAGAGGAAGUAAAAGUCGUAACAAGGUUUU
rnacentral:rRNA from 1 species